rnacentral:rRNA from 1 species
UACGGGGGGGGCAAGCGUUGUUCGGAAUUACUGGGCGUAAAGGGCGCGUAGGCGGUUGGAUAAGUCAGCUGUGAAAACCACGGGCUUAACUCGUGGCCUGCAGUUGAGACUGUCUGGCUUGAGUGUGGGAGAGGAGAGUGGAAUUCCUGGUGUAGCGGUGAAAUGCGUAGAUAUCAGGAGGAACACCAGUGGCGAAGGCGGUUGCCUGGAGCUUUGCUGACGCUGAUGCGCGAAAGCGUGGGGAGCGAUCCGG